UGUCUGUGUCUGUGUGUGUACUGUGUACCGGUGUGUACUUUGUAUCAGCAGUAUCCCCCUAAAACAGUCUCUUAUAUAUUUCUCUGUUCUUCUUAGUUCUCAGUUUGAGCCCAGCUAAGUUUUUUUACAUGUGUUUUCUUACCUGUAGACCUGUAGACCUGCAGACCUGUAAACCUCAGACCUGUAACCUGUAGACCUGUAGACCUGUAAACCAUAGACCAGGUUGGUCAGUCUGAGAGUUUGUGGCUUCAGAAUCUCCUCGCUCUUCCUCUCGCUCUUUAUGUUUUUCCUGGUUUUGCUCCUAGUCUUUUGUCCUAUAUACUCAUCCUUCUUCGUGUUGUCUAUAAUUCUUUGGCCUUGUUCCCUUAUUUAUGUCCUUAUGUCCUUGGUCUUUUGUGUCCUCAGAAAUUGCCUGUUGUCUCCUCUCUUUGUAUCCUCAUUUCCUUGAUUACUUUGCUAAUUUCUUUGUUGGGUUAUGGUAUAGCUGCACUUUGUGGGGUUUUGAUGUGUGUACUUGUUUCCUUGUAUUUUCUAUUCAUCAUCUCUCCUGGAUGCUGAUCGGUUAAAAGUCAGUCAGUGUCUGUGUUGUUUCCUCAUGUCCUAGUUUGUGUUCUUAAAUCACUGACUCACUUAGAUUUUGUUACCUUUGGUUUAUUAUCAUUAUCCUUCUAACUCUUUCUUCUCUCUCUUUAACUAUAUCUAUCCUUACUUCCUUCUUUGUCCCCUCAUCUGCAUCCUUGUUACCUCUCCUUGCUCCAUGAUCCCUUGCACACUUGUUUUGCUCGUGUAUGUCACAUUUUUUCCUCCAGUAAUCGCUCCUCAGGUGCAGAAUAUUUUGGACAUCAUGUCCCCUUUUAUGCACUUGCUUCUUCUCCUUUUUCUUUCUCAUUGUGUCCUUCCUUUGUGUCCUUGCUCCCUCUGAUUUUACUGCAUCCCUGCAUGCUGACUCCCUCAGUGUGUUAUUUUUACUUCACCCACUUCCUCCUGCUCUAUCACCUCCUGUCCUACUCCACUCUGCAGCAUCCUUGUCUCCUCAUAUGCCCUUAUUUCUUUCUUGUAGCAUCCUUACCUUCCUGUUUACUUGUUCCUCCUCUGAAUCUCUGCUUUGUUGCAUCUUCAGUCUGCAGGUAUCCUUAAGUAAUAUAAGACAAGUUAUCAUCUAUGUUUAUUUGUCGACUGCUUGUGUCUGUAUCUUUACAAAUCAAUUACCGUGGUGAUGCACAGAGGUGAAAUACACACACAAACAAGCACAGGGACAGAGAGGAAGGAGAUCUGCAAAACUCUUGAUUUUGUGGUGACAUUAUUCCUGAUCGCCAUCCUGAUGAGGAGAGAUGAAGUAAAAAAGAGAGAGAGAGAGAAGGCUGUGUGUGUGUGUACGUGUGUGUGUGAGUGUGUUACUUCAGCCCUCAUAUUGAACAUCCUCCCACACACGUUAUAGAGCUCCACACACACAGACACACACUCCUUCAGCCUGCUGUUCUGGCUGCAUGGUUGAAGCCCACACAGAGCUCAUAGCUGCAGGGUUUGGGGUUAUUUGUGUUCAUGUUGGAGUGUGUUUGCACGUACCUGCAUGCACCUCAGCUCUACUCAGUCUCUUCUACAUUAUUGUGCACCACCUUGUUUAUACUGCUGAGUACGAAAUGUUUAAAGAAAUUCUAAUGAAAUCGUUCAGAUUCACUGAGAGUUGGCCUUCAAGAGAAGCAGCUGUUUCAGAGGAGCAUCCAUACAGACCUGAAAAAAAGUUAAGGCUGCAAACAUGCUUUUUUAUAUUUUUCGUACUUAGUUGAAAAUGUGGCUUUUGAUGUGGCAGUCUGUCUACAAACGGCAGCAGCUGACGAUUCAGAAAGUCAGACUAACAGAGGUGUGUUAAAAGCAGGGUUGUAAGUGUUAGUACACUUCUUGGUUAAGGUCUAAAUGGUUGUAGAAUUUUAAAAGUUAGUUGUAAUCAUAAUAUAAUUUUAGAUUAUUAUUAUAAAUAAAUCAAUAUUUAAUUGGAUUAGUACCCUUUCAUGAUUUUGUUUUAAGCCUGUAAUUUAAAGCCGCUCUAAGCGGUGUGUUGGCGUGUAAUGAAGCUGAAGCAGUGGUUGCACUUUCAGAUGUUUUAUGCAGAUCAAAGCUGCGUCAGUGUGGUCUGAAACUGUGACUGAGAGGAGUCCGCUUCAGAAAGGUUAUUCUGUCAGAUACAGAGAUCACUAUUUGACAGGGUGACACAUUAACAAACAUGCAGGGAUAUAUGUACAAAAUAUCCAAUCAGUGACAAUAUUAUUCUGAGAUGCAGGGAUCCCUGUUGAAUGCGACAUCAUAUGCACUCUUCUGGAGUUUCACUGUCCUGUCCUUACAGUGAAGGCAUGACACCUCCCUGUAAAAAGAGGAAGCACUGGGCAGGUACGAAGGAAAACUUGAAAGAUCAUUCCCCUCCAUGCCAAGUCCUCUGAGACCUGGAAAAGCUUCCGUAUAUUAUAUUGGCAUUGCCGUUAAACAGGGGUGAAAGGAAGUUGGUACGCAGCGGUACGCAAACUUUUUUACCCCUGCAAUGUAUGUAGACUACAUUUGCUUGCUGUGUUGCCGCACAGCGAUUUGCACUCUGCAUUGUAACCGUAGUAAUCCAAUAGGACCAUGCUGCUUGCAAGUUAGUCGUAUUUGCUUCUGCAAACAAACAAACUCCGGAAGUGGGAGCGUUCAGUGCGCACCUUUGAUUGGAUGCUGGUUGCCUCGGCGCUGGGGACCACUUCCAGCCUUUUGCGGAAGGAGGGAACAUUUAAAGUGACAGCUGCUUCAAUAUUAGAGAAGAGAAAUAAAAUACAGAGAAAAAUUGAUUUUCUGCAGCAAUCACUGGAUGUUAGUGAAAAGUAAGGUCUAGUAGCUGGAAAUUGCAUUGACUUGGAGACUUCUCAGAAACUCAUUCAUGUUUUCAAUGUGACCGCAAACCUGUAGGUAACAAACAAGCUCCUGUUUUCAGUCACUGCACAACAGCUCAGACACCCCCUACAUGCAGUAUAGGCAGCAGGAUCCUGUUUAUGCUGCGACACAGUCACCUCUGAGCAAAGAUCUGUUUACCUGUGACUGGACGUUUCAUAUCAGAGUUUAUUCAGUCUGGACUCAGAGCAGAAACUUUAGGUCAGCGCUGAUCCUCUAAGAAAAGCCUGCAGUGGGUUUAAAGCCUGAUCUCAAUCUCUGUAAGUGUGUAUAGAAGCUGAGAUGAUCUCUGCUCGCUCUGUUAAAUAACUCUGCUUAUUUAAAGAGAUCUGACAAAUCACUCUGACAGCGAGUCUCACUAUUUUUACCAUUUCAACCAGCCUGUUCUGACCUACCUACAACUUUGGUGUCUCUGUAUGCCCCCCUCUGCUAGUUCACAUGUGUAUACACACACACACACACACACACACACACACACACACACACACACACACACACACACACACACACACACACACACACACACACACACACAGCAGAGUCUCUCCUACGCACAGGAACUGGAGCAGGUUGUGUCGGUGCACGUAUGAAUAAAUCUUUAUGUAAGCCAUUCAUUUCAUGCUCCCACUCACCCUGCAGACUCAGACCAUUCAACACUCUGCUUACAAAACCAGUCUCCUUACAUAAUGUGGAGUUUAAACUGGAGUUUCACCAGUUUAUCUGCAGGCUAUGACUGGAUUAUGAUGGGUGUGUGUCAAGAGGUCAGAUAGCUGACAGAAAGUAAAAGAACAGGCUGGUUCUGGAUGAAGCUACUUAAGAAAGACACCCAGCUGUGGAGGGCGGGCCACAAGUUCAAGUUAGCUUCAUGUCUUCUUCAUGAGACAAACUGCAGAUCCGCUCUGUAUCCAGACCAGUUUACCAGUGCCCGCGGGACUGAAAGGCUUUCAACUAAACUCCAGAAAGAGGUAACUGAGUUUUUAGCGUCCAGAUUGUUGAAAUUGUGUCCAUCAACAGUAGUGUCCGACAGACAGACCUGGUCAUCAUGGUUACCACGAAUUGAGCAAAUAGUAAGGGAACUCAGACACCAACUCAUUAUCCAUCAGCUGUGGUCUCAUGACUUUACACAGUAGAUAUUUGUAUGAGAGCAGCUGCAGAAGUCUAUGAUCAUCUCUGAUUCUGAUUUCCAGUCUGCAGUUGUUCUUCAGACCUUCAAGCACAGAAAGCAGAGAGGACGGGAUGUCUCUGACUUCAGCAUCAGUCCUGCAGUGUCUGCAGGUUUUGCAGGAGGCUCUGAAAUGUUGGUCAUUAACCCAAGAGGCUAAAUCAUGCCAGACAGUGACUGAUGGGUUUCUGCGUUGCCCCUGACAGUAAUUCAGGGUCACCAACCUGAGCUGUGUCUGAACAUAACAGAGGGGUGAUAUACAGGAGAGUCGAUGUGUCACAUUUAGAGGAGGACAGACUCACUGCUACAGCUGCAGCACCAGCCCCAGAGUUGUCCACGUGUUAGUGACCUUUCUGAGGAGGUGUGGGCCAUGUGCUCAGGUACAGGGAUAUGGAGACCUAGGGUGUAAACCUCAUGCAGAGGAAUAAAUGAAGCUGUGGAGCCAAAGCUCAGAGUGUGGACUCAGGAAUAAAGGACCAAUCAGAGUGUUUUCAGUCAGAAGUGUUAUGAUGAAAUCUGUUUGUUUUUACUUUUCUUGGAGCUUCAUUUAAACUCCACUUUAAUCCGGUCUCUGACCGCUCCAGCCUAAACACUGACACCAACCAGCCC
rnacentral:lncRNA from 1 species